GCCAAGGUGCUGGAAUUGGUAGACAGUUACGUCUCAAAAACGUAUGGGAGCAAUCCCGUGAGGGUUCGAGUCCCUCCCUUGGCA
rnacentral:tRNA from 1 species